rnacentral:misc_RNA from 1 species
GUCCACCUCGCUGUGACGUGCGUGUCACGAGCGCGUCGCCUCGGCGUGACGACGGUGUCACGGCGUUGUCCGGCCGGUCGAGUGUUGCCGCUGGGCUGUUACUGCCGCGGCGUCGUCGGCCACCUCGGCACCUCGUCGUCGGCGUGGUGAUCCGGGAGGGCGACCGAACGGCAGCACGGGCUGGCCGCUGCUUCGCCGCUACGCUGCUAAAUGCGGACCGGACGACCGAGGACAGUGCGGACUCUUCCUCACGGCCACGGUGUCGUCGGGACGGGGCGCGGCGGCGCGGCGGCCGAACCCUAACCUCAAAACGCGGCCCUCGAUGAUGCUACCCUCCAUCUUCUCCUCCCGGUGGUCCAUGCGUCGUCCCCCGCGGAUGGGGCGCUACCACGUGGACCCAGCCCAGGCCGCCGCGCACGCCCGGGAGCGCCGCAACAACUCCGCCAACGGCCUCAGGUUUCUCACUAACACUCUCCACUUUUGAGUGUGAGUGUCCCAGUGUCCCCGUCUGCUAGUUUGGGUCGAGGUCCCGGGGUUCGCGGUUCGCUUUGGGAGGUUCCCGCCGAGCCCUGGCGGCGUGGCCGUGGCUCGGCCAGGGAAGUCCCGGUGACGAGGCGAUAGCUGUCCCACUUUCGGUCCUUUUGAGCGUGAGUGUCCCUGGGCGACUCGAGGCACGGAGUGCUACGGAGUGCUCUUCCGAGUCCACUUUAUCAGUGCCGUGCCGCGGAUCUUCGGUCUUCGGCGAUGGCCGCACCGAACCGGCCCGGUGACAGUCACCUCCAAAAACUGGCUCGGGUCGAUCCAUCCCCUUUCCGCCCUUUCUCGGCUCACUCGUCGCCGUGACGCUAUUCGCGCUGCCCACACGCCCUCACGCCCACUCGCCCACACCGACCGCGUCGCCCACGUCGCCCACACCACGCCGCCCCUUGCCGUUCCAGAUGUGUGUGGACCUGCUGCUGCGGCCGGCAGACCAAGCCCGAGUGCCAGAGCUCCUCGGCGUCGCAGUGAAGUGAGGGCAAGUGAAGCGCGGGCAGCGCAAACUGGACUGAACUGACACGCACAGCGCGCGGGGCCAGCACCUGCCAGGCCCACCCCUGCCAGGCCCGCCCCUGCCGGCCAUGGCGUCCAAGACCAAAGUGGCCCACUUCCGCAAGGGGGCGCGGAAGGAGAAUUACAAGAGCUUCGGCCACCGGCGCAAGGGCUCCGCCGACUCGAACUACUCCCAGCCUUCCUCGGAUCUGUCGUUGGACGAGGAGAAGGAGAGCAUCCGCAGGGAGAAGGAGAAGCAAGCACUGGGCCAACUGGAAAAGGCAAAGUCCAAGCCGGUGGCGUUCGCCGUCCGCACCAAUGUCAGCUACGACGGCGAGGUGGACGACGACUCCCCCGUGCACGGCAGCGCCAUCUCCUUCGAUGUGCGCGACUUCCUGCACAUCAAGGAGAAGUACGACAACAACUGGUGGAUCGGGCGGCUGGUGCGUGAGAACGCACCCGUGGGCUUCAUCCCGUCGCCGGUCAAGCUGGAGAACCUCCGGCAGCAGCAGUCGCAGGCCCGCUCCUCCAAGCUGUACGCGUCCAAGACCUCGUCCUCCUCCAACCUAGUGGGGAUGGGUGGCGCAGGCGAGGAGAACGACAGCCUGAACCGCGGCACCGGCCCCGCCUCCCUCACCACGCCGCCCACCAAGGAGAAGCGCAAGCCCUUCUUCAAGAAGCAGGAGGCCACCACGCCCUACGACGUGGUGCCCUCCAUGCGGCCCGUCGUGCUGGUGGGGCCCUCCCUCAAGGGCUACGAGGUGACGGACAUGAUGCAGAAGGCGCUCUUCGACUUCCUCAAGCACCGCUUUGAGGGCAGGAUCAUCAUCACGAGGGUCAUGGCGGACAUCUCGCUGGCCAAGCGGUCGCUGCUCAACAACCCCUCCAAGAGGGCCAUCAUGGAGCGGUCCAACUCGCGCAGCAACUGCCUGGCCGAGGUGCAGGCCGAGAUCGAGCGCAUCUUCGAGCUGGCGCGGACGCUGCAGCUGGUGGUGCUGGACUGCGACACCAUCAACCACCCGUCGCAGCUGGCCAAGACCUCCCUCGCGCCCACCGUCGUGUACCUCAAGAUCUCCUCGCCGAAGGUGCUGCAGCGCCUCAUCAAGUCCAGGGGCAAGUCGCAGGCGCGCCACCUCAACGUGCAGAUGGUGGCGGCCGAGAAGCUGGCGCAGUGCCCCGCCGACAUGUUCGACGUGGUGCUGGACGAGAACCAGCUGGAGGACGCCUGCGAGCACGUGGCCGAGUACCUGGACACGUACUGGCGCGCCACGCACCCGCCGGCGCCGACCCCGCAGACGCAGCCGCCGCCGCCGCACAUCGCCAGGCCCAUCUCGUCGCACCACUCGGUGCCGGGCCACGCGCCGGACCUGCACCACAACAUGCGCUCGCACCUCAACGCCACACCGCCAGGCUCGCACCACGACGCGUACGGGUAUCCACACGAGUACAGAGUUGUGGCGGCCACUGGCAAGGUCCGUGAGGGAGCCGGCCUGGCUGGUCUGUGAUUGCCCCAAACCCCCUAACUGCCCGUUGGUCGGCCCGUUGAUCGGGACGCGGGACGGCCCUGUCGACUUCCGGUGGGUUCUCCCAGCCUGUUCGGUGUACGGCCACGGCAGCGGGUCCGCGCCGCACCGGACGCGCUCGCGCCUGGAGCGCGACCACUCGGCCGAGUACGACGACUACAGCGACCGGGAGAUGCGCGAGCGGGAGCGCGACCUGCGGGACCGGG